UGCGACCUCGCGACAAGUGGCGCGGGUAAGACGUAGGUGGCAAUCGGUGUCCGGAGUGACAGGGCGGAAAUAGCGGUCAGGCGGUCGUGUAGGUCGAAUGUGAAAGCCCCCGGCUCAACUGGGGAGGGUCAUUCGAUACUGAUCGACUUGAAGGCAGGAGAGGAAAGUGGAAUUCCCGGUGUAGUGGUGAAAUGCGUAGAUAGCGGGAGGAACACCAGUGGCGAAGGCUACUUUCUGGCCUGUUCUUGACGCUGAGGCGCGAAAGCUGGGGGAGCAAACGGGAUUAGAUACCCUAGUAGUC
rnacentral:rRNA from 1 species